rnacentral:rRNA from 1 species
UCCGUAGGUGAACCUGCGGAAGGAUCAUUAUCGUGGGGCUUCGGCCCUAUCGAGAUAGAACCCGUGCCUUUUUCGAGUACCAUCUGUUUCCUCGGCAGGCUCGCCUGCCAAUGGGGACUACAACUAAACUCUUUAUUUACCUGUAUAGUCUGAAAAAAACAAAUAAAAAUUAAAACUUUCAACAACGGAUCUCUUGGUUCUGGCAUCGAUGAAGAACGCAGCGAAAUGCGAUAAGUAGUGUGAAUUGCAGAAUUCAGUGAAUCAUCGAAUCUUUGAACGCACAUUGCGCCCAUUGGUAUUCCUUUGGGCAUGCCUGUUCGAGCGUCAUUUAACCCUUCAAGCUCUGCUUGGUGUUGGGCGUCUGUCCUACCUUAUGGUUUGGACUCGCCUCAAAAACAUUGGCGGCCGGUACAUUGGCUUCGAGCGCAGCAGAAACGCGAACUCGGAGACAGUGGAUCAGCUCCCAGAAGCAAACCCUUUUAUUUUGACCUCGGAUCAGGUAGGGAUACCCGCUGAACUUAAGCAUAUCAAUAAGCGGAGGAAGUCGAUG